AGUGAACGCUGGCGGUAGGCCUAACACAUGCAAGUCGAACGGCAGCACAGUAAGAGCUUGCUCUUACGGGUGGCGAGUGGCGGACGGGUGAGGAAUACAUCGGAAUCUACUUUUUCGUGGGGGAUAACGUAGGGAAACUUACGCUAAUACCGCAUACGACCUACGGGUGAAAGCAGGGGAUCUUCGGACCUUGCGCGAUUGAAUGAGCCGAUGUCGGAUUAGCUAGCUGGCGGGGUAAAGGCCCACCAAGGCGACGAUCCGUAGCUGGUCUGAGAGGAUGAUCAGCCACACUGGAACUGAGACACGGUCCAGACUCCUACGGGAGGCAGCAGUGGGGAAUAUUGGACAAUGGGCGCAGCCUGAUCCAGCCAUACCGCGUGGGUGAAGAAGGCCUUCGGGUUGUAAAGCCCUUUUGUUGGGAAAGAAAAGCAGCAGGUUAAUACCCCGCUGUUCUGACGGUACCCAAAGAAUAAGCACCGGCUAACUUCGUG
rnacentral:rRNA from 1 species